AUGGUAAAUUUUAAGUAGUAUUAGACAGCAAACUGGUUUGCUAGUCCGUCCCUGGUGGCAUUUGGAGUUUGCCAAACCGGGAGUCAAUGUUUCAGAAGACUGAAAAUUAGACAUCCACCCUCCAUUGGCCACCUCGAUUUGCUGAUUCAGAGCUUCAAUUGACUCGGUGGAACAAAGCGUCCAUGUGAUCAAGCAAACUGGCCGGAAAGAAGUUGAGAUCCAGCGGUCCCUCCGACUGCCACAGGGACUCAUGCUCCGUAUCACUGCAGGGGGUAGCAGAGCUUGCCGUCGAAGAAGCACAGCUCGUGCGAACAGGGAAUUGAGAGCCGAUUCUCCAAUGGCAAGUGGCCGUCAGGCCCGGCAGGGCGUUGCCGUAGCUGCGCUCUUGCAGCACCUCCUCCUGUCAACUCGCCGUUGAGCCGAUGGUGUCAGCAGCCACCAGCCAUCUUUAGUGCUCCGAUGCUACUAAAAUAAACGGCCGUCGUAAUCUUCAGGUACCGUAGAACUCUCAGGAAUCUCCAGAUGGACAAGCCGUUCCUGCUAGCCAGGGCGCGCCGCCCCGGGACCCUUGCAUGAGGGAGCACGGCAGUGGUGAAUGGGACGCAAGCAGGUGGAGAAAAUGGAUCUCCUGACUCAAGCUAGUGAGGCGUCUGAACACGGUCGCAACAAAAUAUUUCCUGGUGCAUCUCAUGCCUACACACAAUAUGGAGUCGAUGUUGUUUCCUCUGGCUUGAUUAUUCUUUUAUCUUUCCACGGUUGUCAAAUGUGAAAAUUUGAAGGAUCUUUCUUUGCAAGUGCGGUGCCUCCUUCUCUGUGUUUUAUCACCUCUCUGAGUUUUGGCUCUUGUUAUUUGUCCUGCAAGGACAAGAUUUCAAUUAAUGCUUCUGCUGGAGCUCUUGCUCUAGCUAGCUUUAGACAAGCACAUGAACAUGGCUUUGCCUCUUUUUUUUUUUUAGUAAGUCUUUGCCUCUUAUUUGGUAACGUUCAUCGGUACACGCACUUGAUAUGAGCUUUGACCUCCGAUUAAUAUGGACCGCCAAUUGCUGGGGCACAUUUUUUUAGCAAAUGAAUUGUUCUAGAUUUAACGGGUAAAAUUAACUUGAAUUAUUCGGCUUCAUCUUCUCCCUGUCGAUCACUGCCAUCUCCCCUGUCUCCGCGCCGGAAUAGCCACUAACCUUGUCAAAAAAUUAAUCUCGCCGUCAUCCUAGCUCCUUCCACAACUUGUUCCCACAUUUCUUCCCCGUGGCGAGAGCAACGAUUUGGCGGUGUGGUAUAUGUCUCGCCGCAAUACCCAAACGAUUCCGCUUUGUGACAUGUCUCGGCGCCUCAAUCGCCUCAUUUUAAAGAGGAAAUUGCAUGGAGAGUCCUUAAACUUGGCAAGUAUAUUCAGUUUCAUCCAUUAACUUGCAAACUUGAAAAACGAUACCUUAAACUUGGCGCGCCGAUUCAUUUUAGUCCAAAUCAACGAAUUCGGCUAAAUUCGGCCAUGCUAGCGGCUAAUGUGGACAUGGUUGGCUCGGGCGGGUUCUUUUCGCGAAUUUUUGGGCGAUG
rnacentral:lncRNA from 1 species